ensembl:lncRNA
CAUUUCUGCUGUCACUGGUUAACUAGUGGGCACAUUUUCACCCUCGAUAUUUAACUAGUUGACACAAACAUGUCUAACUAGUUAACUAGUGGACAGAAAUGGCUUACAUGUUCAUGACAAUUCUGGCUGAUAUCCUGAUAUCAGAAUAAAUGCUCAUUUGGCUUGCCAUACUUCUGAGACACUUCUGACUCGUUCUGCUAACAUUUCUAAAUAAAACACCCAGUUGACUCAACCCUGUGACAACGUCCGGCACCUUCUAGUGGCCACAUGAGUUCACUUUUCAUUUUAGUCUGCACUCAGGUUCUGUUAUUAGGAAAACACACAUACAUAUUUGAAGAUGUUAACUUUCACAUCUCCAGUGAAGUUUGUGUCACUCGUGGAUUUUCAUCAUUUCACGAAUUAGAACUAACUCUCGAACAAACGCCCCACAAAGAGCAAAAAUACCACAGAGAGAAGAGAACAAACAGGGCUUUUAUCUGAACAGAGCUUCCCCUUGUGGGGUGUCAUAUUGUCAUUUCCUGACAUAUUUUAAGAAAGAAUUGCUGACGGGACAUUUUUGUCUCAAUAAGCAAGAAACAUCUACCAGAAAACAUCUGAUGAAAGAAGGAUGAGUAUCCUGUCAUUGUUGGUUCUCUGUAUCAUGCGUUCCUCAGGGGCAGCAGCUGGACUUUAUUCUACUGAUCCAUCUCUGGUGGUUUCCACUGAAGGACAAAGUAUCUGUUUGCCAUGUGGCGUACCUUCUGAGUCGUGCUCCUCGAUAAACUGGAAGAUGGAAGAAAGGGUUCCCGGCUGGUUUUCUGAUGUGGUGAUGGAUGGAAGGGUGACAUCUGCAGAUGCCAGGUAUCAUCUGUUGAAGGACUGUUCCUUGGAAAUCGCUCAAGUCAAACCUGAUGAUGCCCACAUGUACACCUGUCAAAGCGGAUCACUUAAGUCAAGUGUUUCACUUCGGAUCCUUGAAGUUAUUGAGAGCCAAACUCCUGCAGAGGGCACAAUAGAGCUUCACUGUUAUCUGAACACAUUUAAAGGAUACGUGCCUUGCAGCAGAAACUCAGACAUCCACAUCAGAUGGACUGACCAGAAUGAUGAACCACUAAAUGGUCAAAGAUUUAGAUCUGAGACUCUAUCUGCUUGCUUCUCUAAACUUUUCAUCACCAAAAAACUGACGGACCAUCAUAGAACGUGGAAAUGUCACGUCCUACAGAACAACCAGAUUAAAGCCUCCGUCAGUUAUGAGACUACAGUAGAAGGUGGCCUGGAGGAAGUGUUUGCUGCUGUGGGUGAGUCAGUGUCACUCACUUGCACUUCCUCUCUCAGUUCUGGAGGCAACACAGAGUGGACUGUGAACAAAACACCACUGAGAAACAUGUCAUCUGAAACCAGCCCAACAAAAGCAUUUCACCUGGAUGAAGACUCAUCGUUGGUGAUCAGUAAACUGAGUCCUCUGAAUGCAGGAGAAUAUCAGUGUACUGAGUCCACCGGCCUGCAAAGAGUCCUCAACAAAAUCAGGCUGCACACACUCGAUGUUACGGCAGAGUCCACGUCAGCAGGAGUGAAGCUCACCUGUGUGCUAACUUGUGCUGAACAAUGUGAAGAAAACUUUAACCUAAGCUGGUCUGGAACCAGUCGAGAAGGUUGGCAGAGCAGAUCAACGACUGUCAAUAAAACACUGAUCAGCAUGAUGCUUCUCACAGUUUGGCCUCAAAGCUCAGAUGAAUUCAUUUGUUCAGUGAAGAGAGAAGGUUCAACCAUGGCCCUGAAGGAGUGGCACGCUGAUUUCUCUCUGCAGACACUUAUCAGGUUAUGUGUCCAUCUUGUCCUCCUGAUGGGUGCAGCUGCAGGAGGACUGUACACACACAUGAAGUGGAAGCAGAGGAAGGCUGCAGGUACAGGAUCUGGUCAAAGCAACAGAACACAACAAUAUUGAAAUGUAUGAAGAACAGGAUCUGAGAUGAUCCAGAAAAGAAGUGACCACUAAUGCUGACUACUUCCGUCACUUUCAGUUAAACGAACGUUGUGCUCUUUGUUUUCAUUCAUGCUGUAGAUUAUUUUUAAAACAAUAAAUGCUUCUAAAUGCAAUGGAAAUGGACGGGGAGCAGGUUUUAAAUUAGUUGUUGUGAAUAUCUAAUCAGUGUUUCUGAAUCCAUCAGAUGUGAGCCUUAGAAACACAACAGGAGCUACUUCUGACUGGUGACAAACCACAGAUAACUCUGUCCUCAGUUUAACCAGCAGAUGGAGCAUCAUCACUCAGAUCACAAUUCUGUCACGUCUGCCCCUGCCUCCCUGAUUGUGUCUCUCUCCUGCCCUUGAUUAGUCCUUAUUGUUUUCACCUGCCCCUUGUUACCUGCCCAUGUGUUCCUCAUUUGCCCUGUGUAUUUAUACCUCCCUCCUUGUAUCAGUCUUUGUCAGAUCAUUGUGUUUGUAGUCAGCAUUGUUUUUGUCCUGUCGUUCCCGCUCUGUUAUUAAAACCAUUUUUACUUUAUCCAAGCCUGCAUUUUUGCCUCCGGGUCAGCUCCUCCACACACGGUCCGCUGUCAUCCACACCCACAACGUGACAAAUUCAGCAUAAUAACUGGGAUUUUUACUAAGUUAGGUCAUUUUGUCAGAUUCUUACAUUUGGAUUAGAAAAACAUUAACUAUCAAAGUGUCAGGUCUCCUCACCUUGGCUCAACUGAGUGAGCAGUGAGGAGGGCUGUAGCGUGUAACAACAACCAAACGCGGAAGUGCUAGAGAUGGGUGACGUCUAACACGCAUUUAAUAUAGGAACGCCGGCACGAGCCAAGAAGGGAAACGAGGACGUGGCGAUGUUCCAGAAGGUAAAAGGAACAGGCUUACUGUUUAGAGGUUGAAGAUGGUGCUGAGGAGCGUGGGAGCUCUGGAAUCGCCCGGCGUGAAUGACGGGCCGAAGCGACAGGUUGAGCUGUGGCCGUCCGACUUGAGCUGGAGCGUUGGCUAGGACCAAGGAGCCAUUGAGCGAGGUGAGCACGGAGGCUCCUGGUGCAACGGCGUGGUGGAUUGAGCCGACACGCUGGAAACGUGUGGUUCUUUUUCCUUAUCAAAAACAAGAGAGAGAGACAAGUUUUGUCCAAACUCAGCGUGGGGCGUUUAUUUACACUACUCAUCCAUACAUCACCAACACUUCAUGGGGACAGCGUCCAGCUUCGAUCUAAACACCUCGGCUGGAGAUCCUCCUGCAAAGCCCACGUUCUCCUACACCACGCAGCAUCAUAUACUCUUCAACCCCCACCUCUGAGAAAUGAUGGGGUGCUACUUCCACAUCCUAAUAUGGUCAAAAGUAGUUGAGACUUACAUAAGCUGGACAGAUCAACAUGUUUUGGAGCAUGUACUCAGCAGCUGGGCUGCCUGAUAAACGGCUGGUAUUGAUAAGCAACAUGUCAACAUGCACGUACACAAAACACUGCUUUUAGCUCCUACAGAUCCCCCCCAUGGGGGUGUCCACCCCCAUUAAUAAGCUGGCUACAUAACAUAUAACUUAACACAUAAGUGAACGUUAACAUAAACCAGUAAAUGGGCGUCGAAUGGCAAAAUGACAAAUACACUACAAACUUCAACCAAACUAUAUAGGCAUAUAUGUAACGACGAAGUAACUGCAAACCAACACUUGGAUGAGUACACAAAGUAAGUAUCAGCUUCAAAACACAAUAUGGAAUGUGACGUCUUUAACCAGCUCAGUCACAUCAAAAUGCAUGCGCAAACUGUAAGGGGGCGAAAACCUGUCCGCUGUUCUUAACAGGAAAAAUUCCCCCUUGACCUCCUGGCCCCAAA